rnacentral:rRNA from 1 species
UGAGGGAUAUUGGUCAAUGGGGGCAACCCUGAACCAGCGACGCCGCGUGGGUGAUGAAGGUCUUCGGAUCGUAAAACCCUUUUCUAGGUGACGAGACCAGGACGGUAGCCUAGGAAGAAGUCUCGGCUAACUACGUGCCAGCAGCCGCGGUAAAACGUAGGAGGCAAGCGUUAUCCGGAGUUACUGGGCGUAAAGCGUAUGUAGGCGGCUCGGCAAGUGGCGUGUGAAAGCGCCCGGCUAAACUGGGCGACGACAGGUCAGACUGCCGAACUCGAGUCCGAUAGAGGAGCGUAGAAUUCCGGGUGUAGCGGUGAAAUGUGUAGAGAUCCGGAGGAAUACCAGUGGCGCAAGCGGCGCUCUGGGUCGGGACUGACGCUGAGAUACGAAAGCGUGGGGAGCGAA